GAAUUUCUGCCCUAUCAACUUUCGAAGGUAGUAUAGAGGACUGCCUUGGUAAUAACGGGUAACGGGGUUUUAGGGAACGACUCCGGAGAGUUUGCCUUAAAAAUGGCAAACACUUCCAAGGAAGGCAGCAGGCGCGCAAAUUACCCAAUCCGGAAUCCGGGAGGUAGUGACAAAAAAUAUCGACACAGGGUCCAAUAGGGCUUUGUGAUUGGAAUGAGCAAAAGUUAAAAUGCAUAGCGAAAGCCAUUGGAGGGCAAGUCUGGUGCCAGCAGCCGCGGUAAUUCCAGCUCCAAUAGCGUAUGUUAUAGUUGCUGUAGUUGAAAAGCUCGUAGUUGGAUUUCGUUUGCAGACAAGAACUUUUUUUACAAAAAGGACUUUUUCUUGUGAUUUCUCUAUACGUGUAAACGUGGGAUGGAUUACAAGACUGCAAAAUACUAAGCUAGAAGUUGGACAAAAAGGAUGGUUAAUUCGAUUCUUUUUUAGUUGUGUAAAAAGCAAAUGGAUUAUUCCGAGUCAAAUUGGAAGAAUGGUCUACUUCUUUGUUUACUGUGAGUAAAUUAGAGUGUUUCAGGCAGUCCAAAUAGGACAUUGCGUACAAUUAGCAUGGGAUAAUGGAAUAGGACUUGGGUUCUUUUUUCAUUGGUUUUAAAAAUAUACAAGGGCCAGAGUAAUGAUUAAAAGGGACAGUCGGGGGUAUUGGUUUUUUGAUGUCAGAGGUGAAAUUCUAAGAUUUUCAAAAGACUAACAGGUGCGAAAGCAUUUGCCAAGGAUGUUUUCAUUAAUCAAGAACGAAAGUUGGGGGAUCGAAGACGAUUAGAUACCGUCGUAGUCUUAACUAUAAACGAUGCCGACCAGAGAUCAGAGGAUGUUGAAUGGAAGACACUUUUGGAAUCUUGAGCGAAAGCACAAGUUUUUGGGUUCUGGGGGGAGUAUGGUCGCAAGACUGAAACUUAAAGGAAUUGACGGGAGGGUACACCAGGUGUGGAGUUUGCGGCUCAAUUUAACCCAACACAGGAAAACUCACCAGGGCAAGACAUUGUAAGGAUUGACAGAUUGAUAGCUCUUUCUUGAUUCGAUGGGUGGUGGUGCAUGGCCGUUCUUAGUUGGUGGAGUGAUUUGUCUGGUUUAUUCCGAUAACGAACGAGAUCUCAUCUUAUUAAAUAGAGGUAUACAAAUGGGUAUUUAAAGAUGUAUGGCAUAUGAGUUUUAGCAGUAGCAAUAUUGCUGAGGCCAUAGAGUUGUACCUUGCUCAUUUGGAUAUAUGGGGUUAAAAUGUAAAAAGUUUUAAUCUUGACUCUUCUUAAAAGGACUGUUGGCGUUAAGCCAAAGGAAGUUUGAGGCAAUAACAGGUCUGUGAUGCCCUUAGAUGUCCUGGGCUGCACG
rnacentral:rRNA from 1 species